CGUUUUCUUCACAGCCCAAAACGAAACUAGUAGUGGCAACGAAGCAACAUGCUAAAACAAUUGACAGUUUGCGCACCACGCCAGCGACGUGCAGCGAUUGAUUUUCAACGCACCCAGGAAAACUAAAGUCGGACUUUGAAGUGACGAAGGCAGCCAGAUCUGUUCGAAUGGGACAGAGCUAGUGUGAAGCGGUACAGACAUCGCUGAAGAUGCCCCCCAAGAGCCCCCUGUUGUCCGUGGUGAUGUACUGCGUCAGGCAUGCGGCCAAGCUACUGUGCCGUCAGCGCCAACGCAGCGGCGGCAGUGGCGGAACCUCAGCCGGACCCCGGUGAGGCUUGCUCACUUUAUUAGCAACCUGAUGUCACUGUUCCAGCAACUUUCCAAGAGGUUCGGCCACCUGCUUCGCAACAUUGUUUGAACCUUGGCUGGAAAUGACGACAGCAUAAAUGAGCAGUAAUAAUAUUUAUUAGUAAUGGACCAUGAUUAGAAAAGUGAUGUUUCCUGCUGCUGCCGCUGUGGUGGCCUCAGCACCAACACCACCUUCUUACUAUUUUUUUUAACACGAUUGCUAUUGACUUAUGUUGUUUGAUUUAAAUUAAA